rnacentral:rRNA from 1 species
ACGAACGCUGGCGGCGUGCUUCACACAUGCAAGUCGAACGGAAAGGCCCUGCUUUUGUGGGGUGCUCGAGUGGCGAACGGGUGAGUAACACGUGAGUAACCUGCCCUUGACUUUGGGAUAACUUCAGGAAACUGGGGCUAAUACCGGAUAGGAGCUCCUGCUGCAUGGUGGGGGUUGGAAAGUUUCGGCGGUUGGGGAUGGACUCGCGGCUUAUCAGCUUGUUGGUGGGGUAGUGGCUUACCAAGGCUUUGACGGGUAGCCGGCCUGAGAGGGUGACCGGGGACAGGGGGACUGAGAUAGGGCCCAGACGGCGACGGGAGGCAGCAGGGGGGAGUAUGGCACAAUGGGCGGGAGCGUGAGGCAGCAGCGCGGGGGGCGGGAUGACGGCCUUCGGGGUGUAAACCGCUGUCGGGUGUGACGAAGCGGGAGUGACGGUAAUGGGUAAAGAAGCACCGGCUAACUACGUG